CCCCAACAAAAAAAAAAAAAAAAAAAAAAAUCUUUUCAUAUAGUAAAGUGAGGUUUACCUACCUUAAUUUUGGAAUCUAAAAUUCCAUUACUUGAAGACUAAGACUGCAGCCAUUCAGCAGAACACAUGAACACAGAAGCACUUUCCAGCUCGUGAAGACAGCUGAGCUGGGGGAAAGGAGGUUGCACUUGUGGACCCCAGAUCUCAUGAAAAAUAAAAUAGUGAGCCUGUUGGUUUGUGUUGUCAUUGCUCAACCACGCCUAGAAGGUGGGAAAACACACCCAUUAGGGGAGAUGUGAAGAAACGACUGAAAAUAACUCUAAAACAGUUUUUACCACUACUGCAAAGAAAUACUUAAUAAAAG